rnacentral:tRNA from 1 species
GAAAGCAUAGCUUAAUGGUAGAGUGCAUGCUUAGCAUGCACAAAGUCCUGGAUUCAAUCCCCAGUACCAUCA